rnacentral:rRNA from 1 species
UACGUAGGGGGCUAGCGUUGUCCGGAUUUAUUGGGCGUAAAGCGCGUGUAGGCGGCCAGGUAGGUCCGCUGUGAAAACUCGAGGCUCAACCUCGAGAUGUCGGCGGAAACCAUCUGGCUAGAGUCCGGAAGAGGAGAGUGGAAUUCCCGGUGUAGCGGUGAAAUGCGUAGAUAUCUGGAGGAACACCGGUGGCGAAGGCGGCAUCCUGGACCAACACUGACGCUGAGUGAGCGAAAGCCAGGGGAGCAAACGGG